UCUGGUGGUCAAAGCGACAGGGUCCCACCCGGAACCAUGCCGAACCCGGAAGUUAAGCCUGUGAGCGCCGAUGGUACUGUAUGGGGUACAUACGGAAGAGUAGGUCGCCGCCAGAA
rnacentral:rRNA from 1 species